CGCCCGUCGCUCCUACCGAUUGGGUGUGCUGGUGAGAUGUCGGGAUUAGUGGCUGUGGGCGGUUCGCCGCCCUCUGCCGCUGAGAACUUCAUCAAACCCUCCCACCUAGAGGAAGGAGAAUUCGUAACAAGGUUCCU
rnacentral:rRNA from 1 species